CCUACGGGUGGCUGCAGUGGGGAAUAUUAGACAAUGGGGGCAACCCUGAUCCAGCCAUGCCGCGUGUGUGAAGAAGGCCCUCGGGUUGUAAAGCACUUUCAGUGAGGAAGAACGCCUGGUGGUUAAUACCCAUCAGGAAAGACAUCACUCACAGAAGAAGCACCGGCUAACUCCGUGCCAGCAGCCGCGGUAAUACGGAGGGGGCGAGCGUUAAUCGGAAUUACUGGGCGUAAAGCGCGCGUAGGUGGCUUGAUAAGCCGGUUGUGAAAGCCCCGGGCUCAACCUGGGAACGGCAUCCGGAACUGUCAAGCUAGAGUGCAGGAGAGGAAGGUAGAAUUCCCGGUGUAGCGGUGAAAUGCGUAGAGAUCGGGAGGAAUACCAGUGGCGAAGGCGGCCUUCUGGACUGACACUGACACUGAGGUGCGAAAGCGUGGGUAGCAAACAGGAUUAGAUACCCUUGUAGUC
rnacentral:rRNA from 1 species